ACUAGGGAGGCUGCAGUGAGGAAUAUUGGUCAAUGGGCGGAAGCCUGAACCAGCCAAGUCGCGUGAGGGAUUAAGGCCCUGCGGGUCGUAAACCUCUUUUGCCGGGGAGCAGAGGUCCGGACGUGUCCGGGCCGGGAGAGUACCCGGAGAAAAAGCAUCGGCUAACUCCGUGCCAGCAGCCGCGGUAAUACGGAGGAUGCGAGCGUUAUCCGGAUUUAUUGGGUUUAAAGGGUGCGUAGGCGGGCAUUUAAGCCGGCGGUCAAAUGUCGGGGCUCAACCCCGGCCUGCCGUCGGAACUGGGUGCCUUGAGUGGGCGAGAAGUAUGCGGAAUGCGUGGUGUAGCGGUGAAAUGCAUAGAUAUCACGCAGAACCCCGAUUGCGAAGGCAGCAUACCGGCGCCCUACUGACGCUGAGGCACGAAAGUGCGGGUAUCGAACAGGAUUAGAUACCCUUGUAGUC
rnacentral:rRNA from 1 species